UACGAGGGGAGCUAGUGUUGUUCGGAUUUACUGGGUGUAAAGGGAGCGCAGGCGGUCUUGUAAGUCAGAGGUGAAAUGUCUAUGCUUAACAUAGUCACUGCCUUUGAAACUGCCAGACUUGAGUAUUGGAGAGGGUAACGGAAUUCCAGGUGUAGCGGUGGAAUGCGUAGAUAUCUGGAAGAACACCAGUUGCGAAGGCGGUUACCUGGCCAAGUACUGACGCUCAGGCUCGAAAGCUGGGGGAG
rnacentral:rRNA from 1 species